rnacentral:tRNA from 1 species
GCGGGAAUAGCUCAGCUGGUAGAGCGCAACCUUGCCAAGGUUGAGGUCGCGGGUUCGAACCCCGUUUCCCGCUCCA